CGAACGGGUGCGUAACACGUGAGCAACCUACCGAAGUGUGGGGGAUAGCCGGUCUAACGGCCGAGUAAUACCGCAUACGAUUCCGAAGAGGCAUUUCUUUGGAAUGAAACCUACGGGGUACUUCGAGGGGCUCGCGGCCUAUCAGCUAGUUGGUGAGGUAACGGCUCACCAAGGCAACGACGGGUAGCUGGUCUGAGAGGAUGGCCAGCCACAUUUGGACUGAGAUACGGCCCAG
rnacentral:rRNA from 1 species